UACGUAGGGUGCAAGCGUUAAUCGGAAUUACUGGGCGUAAAGCGUGCGCAGGCGGCUUUGCAAGACAGAUGUGAAAUCCCCGGGCUUAACCUGGGAACUGCAUUUAUGACUGCAUGGCUCGAGUGCGGCAGAGGGGGAUGGAAUUCCGCGUGUAGCAGUGAAAUGCGUAGAUAUGCGGAGGAACACCGAUGGCGAAGGCAAUCCCCUGGGCCUGCACUGACGCUCAUACACGAAAGCGUGGGGAGCAAACAGG
rnacentral:rRNA from 1 species